rnacentral:rRNA from 1 species
AUUGAACGCUGGCGGCAGGCCUAACACAUGCAAGUCGAGCGGAGCGGCGGACGGGUGAGUAAUGCCUAGGAAUCUGCCUGGUAGUGGGGGAUAACGUCCGGAAACGGGCGCUAAUACCGCAUACUAUCAGAUGAGCCUAGGUAGGAUUAGCGAGUGGGUGGGGUAAAGGCCUACCAAGGCGACGAUGCGUAACUGGUCUGAGAGGAUGAUCAGUCACAGUGGGACUGAGAAAGGGUCCAGACGCCUAGGGGAGGCAGCAGUGGGGAAUAUGGGAGAAUGGGCGAAAGGCUGAGCCAGCCAUGCCGCGUGUGUGAAGAAGGUCUUCGGAGAGUAAAGCACUUUAAGUUGGGAGGCGUUACCAACAGAAUAAGCACCGGCUAACUUCGUGCCAGCAGCCGCGGUAAUUC